GAUGAACGCUGGCGGCGUGCCUAAUACAUGCAAGUCGAGCGAACGGACGAGAAGCUUGCUUCUCUGAUGUUAGCGGCGGACGGGUGAGUAACACGUGGAUAACCUACCUAUAAGACUGGGAUAACUUCGGGAAACCGGAGCUAAUACCGGAUAAUAUUUUGAACCGCAUGGUUCAAAAGUGAAAGACGGUCUUGCUGUCACUUAUAGAUGGAUCCGCGCUGCAUUAGCUAGUUGGUAAGGUAACGGCUUACCAAGGCAACGAUGCAUAGCCGACCUGAGAGGGUGAUCGGCCACACUGGAACUGAGACACGGUCCAGACUCCUACGGGAGGCAGCAGUGGGGAAUCUUCCACAAUGGGCGAAAGCCUGACGGAGCAACGCCGCGUGAGUGAUGAAGGUCUUCGGAUCGUAAAACUCUGUUAUUAGGGAAGAACAUAUGUGUAAGUAACUGUGCACAUCUUGACGGUACCUAAUCAGAAAGCCACGGCUAACUACGUG
rnacentral:rRNA from 1 species